rnacentral:rRNA from 1 species
UACGUAGGGAGCAAGCGUUUGUCCGGAUUUAUUGGGCGUAAAGAGCUCGUAGGCGGUUACGUAAGUCAGGUGUGAAACCUCCAGGCUCAACCUGGAGACGCCACUUGAUACUGCGUUGACUUUGAGUUCGGUAGGGGUAAGCGGAAUUCCUGGUGUAGCGGUGAAAUGCGCAGAUAUCAGGAGGAACACCGAUGGCGAAGGCAGGUCUCUGGGCCACUACUGACGCUGAGAAGCGAAAGCAUGGGGAGCGAACAGG